UACAGAGACCUCAAGCGUUAUCCGGAAUCAUUGGGCGUAAAGCGUACCGAUAGGUGGUUUAGAAAGUCAGAAGUGAAAUCUUAAAGCUCAACUUUGAGACUGUCUUUUGAAACUUCUAAACUAGAGGGGCAAAGAGGAAGCUGGAACGAACGGUGUAGUAGUGAAAUGCGUUGAUAUCGUUCGGAACACCAAUAGCGUAGGCAGGCUUCUGGGUGCCACCUGACACUGCUAGGACGAAAGCGUGGGUAGCGAAUGGG
rnacentral:rRNA from 1 species